UGAUCUUCAGUUAACAUCACAUAAAGCUCAAAAAAUACCCAAAAAGGAAAGGUAAAAACUUUGAAAACCCAUGUUGCAAUUCCGGUGUGGUUUCUCUAUUUUGAUUCAAUCUGAAACAUACCCAUGAUUUUACUUGAACAAUUCACGGCGAAAGAUUUACCCUUUUUAAUUCUGAAACCAGAAAACCCCCACUUCUUCAGGGUCUCAAAAAGCCCAAAACUUGAAGAGAACCCACGUUCUGCAAUUGAGGUUUGAAGUGGUGGAAAGGGAUAUGGAGAGCAUCGCUGGGGGAGAGAGGAGUGGCCGCUUGUCGCUGUCAGAGGUGGUGGCGGAUUGUGUGAAGCGGUGGUUCAGGGACACUCUCAAGGAGGCUAAGUCAGGGGACAUUAACAUGCAGGUUUUGGUGGGUCAGAUGUACUACAAUGGCUAUGGGGUUCCCAGAGAUGCCCAAAAGGGAAGAGUUUGGCUGACCAAAGCAUCAAGGACUAGGUCUUCGGUUUGGAAAGUUGGUGAUAAGCACCCAGGUUAUAAUGCAAGUGACUCUGAUUCAGAUAAUUGAAGGAGGAUUCUUAAGCAGACUUAAUUUGUUUUGAUGCUUAUAAAUGUGAAAGGCAAAGAAAAUCAAGUUAAUGCUCAUGGUUUGGGCCUUUGGGGGACAAUUGUCAAAUCAUUUUGGGUUCGUGACUAGCAUGUUUAUUUACGAAAUUAGUCUGCUACUUAAAUAUUUCUUUUUCUCAAAUUAUAGUAUUUUUAAGGAGGAAAGUCUUGAAACAAUGGUAAAGUGGCUCAUUUGUGAUUAAAAUGUCAUUAGUUCGAGUAUAAAACAAUAGGCUCUUUGCAAAAAAAAUUGUUGAGUAUAAAGUUGUGUUUAGUCAACUUUUAUCCCUACUCUCGCAAAGUUGGGAAGACUUUUAUUCAUUGGGAUUUGUCCUUAAUUGUAAUAUUAUUG